rnacentral:rRNA from 1 species
GACGAACGCUGGCGGCGUGCCUAACACAUGCAAGUCGAACGGAGUUAAGACUUCGGUUUUAACUUAGUGGCGAACGGGUGAGUAACGCGUGAGAAACCUGCCUUUCAGUGGGGGACAACAGUUGGAAACGACUGCUAAUACCGCAUAAUGUUAUUUGGGGGCAUCCCUGAAUAACCAAAGCUUUAUGUGCUGAAAGAUGGUCUCGCGUCUGAUUAGCUAGAUGGCGGGUAACGGCCCACCAUGGCGACGAUCAGUAGCCGGUCUGAGAGGAUGAACGGCCACAUUUGGGACUGAGACACGGCCCAAACUCCUACGGGAGGCAGCAGUGGGGAAUAUUGGGCAAUGGGGCAACCCUGACCCAGCAACGCCGCGUUGAAGGAAGAAGGC